rnacentral:rRNA from 1 species
AGUGAACGCUGGCGGUAGGCCUAACACAUGCUAGUCGAACGGCAGCACAGUAAGAGCUUGCUCUUACGGGUGGCGAGUGGCGGACGAGUGAGGAAUACAUCGGAAUCUACUUUUUCGUGGGGGAUAACGUAGGGAAACUUACGCUAAUACCGCAUACGACCUACGGGUGAAAGCAGGGGAUCUUCGGACCUUGCGCGAUUGAAUGAGCCGAUGUCGGAUUAGCUAGUUGGCGGGGUAAAGGCCCACCAAGGCGACGAUCCGUAGCUGGUCUGAGAGGAUGAUCAGCCACACUGGAACUGAGACACGGUCCAGACUCCUACGGGAGGCAGCAGUGGGGAAUAUUGGACAAUGGGCGCAAGCCUGAUCCAGCCAUACCGCGUGGGUGAAGAAGGCCUUCGGGUUGUAAAGCCCUUUUGUUGGGAAAGAAAAGCAGCAGGUUAAUACCCCGCUGUUCUGACGGUACCCAAAGAAUAAGCACCGGCUAACUUCGUG